AAUAGUGAUGCUGUUUUAUGUUCAUUAAUAAAUUGUGGAACAAGCAUAUAUGCAGGUUUUGCUGUUUUCGCAAUAAUUGGACAUUUGAGCUUAAAAACAGGGUUACCAAUAAACGAAGUAGUUACUCAAGGUGUGGGUUUAAUAUUUGUUAUCUAUCCCGAAGUUUUAAAAACAUUACCUAUCGCACCUUUAUGGUCUUGCUUAGUAUUUCUUAUGAUAAUUUUAGUUGGAAUUGAUACUCAGUUUGGAAUGUAUGAAGCUUGUCUUUCAUUAAUUUUUGAUUCAUUUUCAUUUUUUAAAAAAUGGAGAGUAACGGUUACAUUUUUUUGUUGUUUCAUAUGGUUCAUAUUAGGUCUCCCAUUAACUACACAGGCUGGAAUUUAUUGGCUUACGUUACUGGAUACAAGAAGUGCUCAAUUAUCACUUAUAUUGGUUACUCUCUUGGAAAAUAUUGCUGUUUGCUGGAUUUAUGGUAUAAAAAAUUUAUCUGAAGACAUUUUAAUGAUGACCGGUAAAAAACCUAACUAUUACUGGAAAUUUACUUGGCUUUUAACUUGCCCACUAAUUUUACUUGUAUUAAAGUAAUGUUUAUUUUAGGGGAUUCUAAUAUUUUCGAUGGUUACGUACACUCCCAUUACUUAUAAUAAAGUUUUAAUGCCUGUAUUUACAGAAUAUUUGGGAUGGGGAAUAUUUCUAGCACCGGUCCUUUGUAUUGUUGCAUACGCAGUUUAUAUAAUUAAUAAAAAAGUAAUUAUACAAAAAAAGACCUUUAAAUCCUUAUUUCUCCCUAAUUCCCGCUAUGGACCAGUCAAAAAUGAAAACAGGGAUGGAAGUCGAUAUAAAUUACACGGAACUAAAUUGUAGCAUCUAAU